rnacentral:lncRNA from 10 species
CCACUCCAAGCCAGCAGGCAACCUGCUCCAGUCACCUUCCAUGCUGUGGAAGCUUUGUUCUUUCGCUGUUCACAAAAAAUCUUAUUGCUGCUCACUCUUUGGGUCUGUGCCACCUUUAAGAGCUGUAACACUCACCACAGAGGUCUGCAGCUUCAUUCUUGAAGUCAGUGAGACCAAGAAUCCAUCAGAAGGAACCAACUCUGGACACAUUAGGACAUGGGCCUGGAGCUGCUGGGGCCAUUUCUGCCACCUUGUAGGGACAGCCAGCUCGAGGAUGAAGUCAACAGAGAAGAACGGAAGCUGAGAAACAGAACUAAUCAUUCCACCUAGCACCUGGGUUCAGCCAGGACUAACACUGGUCAUGUGAUGAGAUGAGAGGACAGCUGUUCUCCCCUCACUCAAGGUAGCACUCUGAGGUGUCCAGGAGGCGAUCCACAAAUCAUCCCACUGAGUGUGCUUACAGCCGGUUUCUCCCACCUCAGCCCUGCUGCGAGGAAGGACUAAGAAAAACAGCCUGCAUGGGCCGGGCUUGGAUUUCAAGUUCUCAGGUCAUUUCUUCACCCAUGAUGCGCCUUUACUUCUCUCUUUUCCUCCUGAGUCACCACUUUGUGGCCACGGAGACAAUCAGGCAAGGCUUCUUGGAGGAGGUGGUGAUCGUGUUGGGCUUUGAAGGAUAGGAAGGAUUUCCGCCGGGCGCGAUGGCUCAUGCCUGUAAUCCCAGCACUUUGGGAGGCUGAGGCGGGCAGAUCACGAGGUCAGGAGAUCAAGGCCAUCCUGGCUAACAUGGUGAAACCCCACCUCUACUAAAAAUACAAAAAAUUAGCCGGGCAUGAUGGUGGGUGCCU